CCUACGGGAGGCAGCAGUGGGGAAUAUUGCGCAAUGGGGGAAACCCUGACGCAGCAACGCCGCGUGAGUGAGGAAGGACUUCGGUCUGUAAAGCUCUGUUAAUGUGGAAAAAUGGUAGUUGGUCUAAUAGGCCGAUUAUUUGAUGGUACACAUAGAGGAAGCACCGGCUAACUUCGUGCCAGCAGCCGCGGUAAUACGAAGGGUGCAAGCGUUGUUCGGAUUUAUUGGGCGUAAAGCGCGCGUAGGCGGACCUGUAAGUCAGAUGUGAAAUCUCGGGGCUCGAACCUCGAAACUGCGUCUGAAACUGCAGGUCUAGAAUCUCGGAGGGGGAAGGGGAAUUUCGCAUGUAGGGGUAAAAUCCGUAGACAUGCGAAGGAACACCAGAGGCGAAGGCGCCUUCCUGGACGAGUAUUGACGCUGAGGCGCGAAAGCGUGGGGAUCAAACAGGAUUAGAUACCCUGGUAAGUCCACGCUGUAAACUAUGAACACUAGGUAUUGGAGGAUUUGACCCCUUCAGUGCCGUAGCUAACGCGUUAAGUGUUCCGCCUGGGAAUACGGUCGCAGACUAAAACUUAAUGAAUUGACGG
rnacentral:rRNA from 1 species